rnacentral:rRNA from 1 species
UGGGGAAUAUUGGACAAUGGGCGAAAGCCUGAUCCAGCCAUGCCGCGUGUGUGAAGAAGGUCUUCGGAUUGUAAAGCACUUUUAAGUUGGGAGGAAGGGCCAUUACCUAAUACGUGAUGGUUUUGACGUUACCGACAGAAUAAGCACCGGCUAACUCUGUGCCAGCAGCCGCGGUAAUACAGAGGGUGCAAGCGUUAAUCGGAAUUACUGGGCGUAAAGCGCGCGUAGGUGGUUUGUUAAGUUGGAUGUGAAAUCCCCGGGCUCAACCUGGGAACUGCAUUCAAAACUGACUGACUAGAGUAUGGUAGAGGGUGGUGGAAUUUCCUGUGUAGCGGUGAAAUGCGUAGAUAUAGGAAGGAACACCAGUGGCGAAGGCGACCACCUGGACUAAUACUGACACUGAGGUGCGAAAGCGUGGGGAGCAAACAGGAUUAGAUACCCACGUAGUCCCUGAGCGGGCUGGCAAGGCGCAU